CUCAGUAGCUAAGUGGAUAACGCGAUGGCAUUUGAAGCGAACGGUACUGGGUUCGAGUCCCUGAUUGGACAU
rnacentral:tRNA from 1 species